AGGGCGGGCCUUUCAGGCAUCCUCUCCCAAACUAUUCAGGGCCGCCCGGCAACGGAGCGGCCCUUUUUUUGCGCCCGU
rnacentral:sRNA from 1 species